GCCCCCAUAGUCUAAUGGAUAGGAUUUCAGAUUCCGGUUCUGACGGUAGAGGUUCGAAUCCCCUUGGGGGUACCA
rnacentral:tRNA from 1 species